GUCGUGGAGGUCCGAACCCACUUCAGUUGAAAAUGGAGGGGAUGAGUUGUGGAUAGGGGUGAAAGGCCAAUCAAACACCGUGAUAGCUGGUUCUCCCCGAAAUGCAUUUAGGUGCAGCGUUGCGUGGUUCUUGUUGGAGGUAGAGCACUGGAUGGUCUAGGGGGCUUAUCGGCUUACCGAAAUCAGCCAAACUCCGAAUGCUGGCAAGUGUAGCGUGGCAGUGAGACGGCGGGGGAUAAGCUUCGUCGUCGAGAGGGAAACAGCCCAGAUCAUCAGCUAAGGCCCCUAAGUGGUGACUCAGUGGGAAAGGAUGUGGAGUUGCGUAGACAACCAGGAGGUUGGCUUGGAAGCAGCCAUCCUUGAAAGAGUGCGUAAUAGCUCACUGGUCAAGUGAUUCCGCGCCGAUAAUGUAGCGGGGCUUAAGUUAUCCGCCGAAGCUGUGGCAACCUGUGUGGUUGGGUAGGGGAGCGUCGUGUCAGUGGUGAAGCUGCCGGGUGACCGUGUGGUGGAGGUGAUGCGAGUGAGAAUGCAGGCAUGAGUAGCGUGUGACGGGUGGGAAUCCCGUCCGCCGAUUAUCCAAGGGUUCCAGGGUGAAGUUUGUCUGCCCUGGGUGAGUCGGGUCCUAAGGCGAGGCCGACAGGCGUAGUCGAUGGGUAACCAGUUGAUAUUCUGGUACCGGCAUGUCACCGUCCGUGUCGAGGUGUGUGAUGCUAAGCGUGCGAGUGUCCUGGUGAUCCUUUUUUGGGGUGAUCUUGUGGCGUGAGUGUGUGAACCGAGCAUGUAGUAGGCAAGCUGCGGAGGGACGCAGGGAGGUAGCUCAUCCCCGGCGAUGGUUGUCCGGGGCUAAGUGUGUGGACUGUCUGGUAGGUAAAUCCGCUGGGCGUGAAGGUUGAGGCAUGAUGGGGAGCCCAUGGUUGUGGGUGAGUGAGUGAUCCUGUACUGUCGAGAAAAGCUUCGUGAGCGAGGUGGUGUGUCCGCCCGUACCCUAAACCGACACUGGUGGAUAGGUAGAGUAUACCGAGGCGAUCGAGUGAAUCGUGGUGAAGGAACUCGGCAAAAUGCCCCCGUAACUUUGGGAUAAGGGGGACCUGAGCUGUCGUGCACUUGUGCGGUGUUGUGGCGGUGAGGGGCGCAGAGACCAGGGGGAAACGACUGUUUAUCAAAAACACAGGUCCGUGCGAAGUCGUAAGACGAUGUAUACGGACUGACUCCUGCCCGGUGCUGGAAGGUUAAGGGGAACUGUGAGUGUAUGCGUAGCGGUGAACUUAAGCCCCAGUAAACGGCGGUGGUAACUAUAACCAUCCUAAGGUAGCGAAAUUCCUUGUCGGGUAAGUUCCGACCUGCACGAAUGGAGUAACGAUUUCCCUACU
rnacentral:rRNA from 1 species